rnacentral:tRNA from 1 species
AAGGUAUUAGUUAAAAAAUAACAUUAAAAUGUCAAAUUGAAAUUACUAUAUUAGUAUACCUUG